rnacentral:tRNA from 1 species
GACAAUGUGGUGUAGUGGUUUGCGUGUUGGACUAUGACUCUCGAGACCAGGGUUCAAACUCCUGCUUGGCCA